rnacentral:lncRNA from 1 species
CAACUCUCCACAAGAGACCAAAAUGACACAGAAAUUAACAACUAUAGGUCAUCGUACGGCCUUCAACAACGAGCAAAGACCAUACCGCAUACUCAGCUUUAAAAGGCACCGAAAUGACAAUGUAAAACAAUUAAACUAGCGGCCUUAUUUAUGUACAAAAAAUGAACGAAAAACAAAUAUGUAACACAUAAACAAACGACAACCACUCAAGUACAGGCUCUUUACUUAAAUAUUCAUAACAUACUAAAUAUAUAUUCAUAUUGAAAUUGAGAGAAAACCACAAAUUGGGAAUUUUGGAAAUAAAGGAGGAGGGAUUAAAAAACUGAACAUUUUCCUGUCCCCAAUAACCUAUGAUUUAUGAUACUUUUGCUGAAAUUCUCCAGUCAUUCAAUAUUUCACAAAAUUCUUCCAACAACACUUUACUUACUUUUAACAACGCUC